rnacentral:rRNA from 1 species
CCUACGGGAGGCAGCAGUGGGGAAUCUUCCGCAAUGGGCGAAAGCCUGACGGAGCAACGCCGCGUGAUCGAAUGAAGGCCUUCGGGUGGUACAGAUCUGUUGACAGGGACGAGUAAGCAAUGCUAAUAGUUUUGUGUAUGACGGUACCUGUUUAGAAAGCUCCUGCUAACUACGGUCCAACAGCCGCGGUAAUACGGAGGGAGCAAGCGUUUUCCGGAAUUACUGGGCGUAAAGGGCGCGUAGGUGGGCUCUUAAGUCAGGUGUGAAAACUCCGGGCUCAACCUUGAGACUGCACUUGAAACUGGGAGGCUAGAGGGUAGGAGAGGAGAGUAGAAUUCCUAGUGUAGCGGUGAAAUGCGUAGAUAUGAGGAGGAAUACCAGUGGCGAAGGCGACUCCCUGGACUGUAACUGACGCUGAGGCGCGAAAGCGUGGGUAGCGAACGGGAUUAGAUACCCGAGUAGUC